UCAGAGUGGUGGCGAUGAACUGGUUGGACUAGAGUCUCUGAGCGCUUCUCUGAUGAUCUCUGAAACCACCUGAUCCACUCGU
rnacentral:snoRNA from 1 species